ACUCUCGGUAGAACUGGGAGACCCGGUGCAGGUUAAUUCAGUGGCCCGUAAUGUUAGGCGAAUACUAAGAGUUUUUAUCCUACCGAAUCAAGCCACACUCUCUCAAAUGGUAGCAACAUUAAAUUGAGCUGUUAGGGUAGGAGCGUGUAGUGCUAAGAACCUAAUUACUGAACUGUUGGUUUGGUGACUUACAGAGCACUUAAAGGGUGAUAAUGCUCUAGGAGUAUAAGGACCACAGGACUGAAGUAAAUGAAGCUCCUGAAACACAGGCAACAUUUUAACGUUAGCUCUCGUUUCUCAGUGCAGCAGGAGUCUUCCCUUUGCUCCUUUCUCCAGAGAAACGGAAAGCAUUGGAGCAUUACUCUGAUCUGGCAUAUUUCUCAGUCGCAUCUCUUUAAAAAAAAAGGUGUAGCUUUAUGGUGGCGUUCUGCCGGCAUGGACACGGGAUCCAGGGAGGUACAAAAUGAGAAAUUAGCAUUUCUCCUCUUUCCUUGUAGUAAUUGCAAAAUCACCUUGCCGUGGGAAGGAAGUCAAGCAGUAGUGGGGUGUGUUGCCUAGGCUGGAGCGCGCAAUCAGGGAUCACUGCAGCCUCAAAUUCUGACGGUCAAACGAUCCUCCUGCUUCAGUCUCCCAAGUAGCUAGGGACUACAGGGGCACACCAUCAGGCCAGGCUGAUGUGCUGGUUUUUGUUGUUGUUUUGUUUUUGAGAUAGUAUCUCACUGUCUGUCGCUCAGGCUGGAGUGCAGUGGCAGAAUCUCGGCUCACUGUAGUCUCGACCUCCCGGACUCAAGCGAUCCUCCCAAACUAUCCUUCCACCUCAGACUGCCCACUAGUUGGGACUAUAGGCAGGGGUCACCACGCCCGGCUAAAUUUUUUUUUUUUUUUUUUGUAGAGACGGGGAUUCACCAUGUUGGCCAGGCUGGUCUUGUGCUGGCGGUUUAAUGUACACUUGAAGCCACGUGACCGCAAAAUAUAUGGGAUAGAUGAUUUCUAACUUAAUCCAUAGAUUUUACUGUAUGACCAAAAUGGAUACACAAUGACACCUCAUUUCCCGAGUUCAUUGAUGACGCUUCAUUAUGAAGUUGCACCAAAUUCUGAAAUGAAAUCACUCUGUACCUCAAAAGCUUAACUUUCACAAUUAUAUAAAUGAAAUGGUUA
rnacentral:lncRNA from 1 species